CGAGGAAGGACGAGGUUCAAGAAAAGGCACCAGAAAUCGCAGCAGGCGCCUCAUGAACACCAAAGAGGAGCCACCUAGCCACCUAUACAUACCAAGGCACAGCAUGCGGCGGCUUCAUUGGAUUUGGGCCUACAGGCCUUGUGAGGCGGAUGACACAUGGUUUGCUUGUUCACAUGACAACACAGCACCACGGCGGGACCUUGGACCCUAAGUCCGCCCAUCACCCGCCUGCCGGAGAUCUGCGUCGCCAUGGGAACACUGUAUAUUCAUGUCAUUUUCAUGCAGACCUUCAUGAUCCCAGGGACAAUAUUCAUGUCAUUGCUUGCUGGUGCCCUAUUCGGGCAACUCCGGGGCGUGGCUCUGGUUGUCUUUGCUGCCUCUGCUGGUGCUUCUUCCUGCUAUUUCCUAUCAAAGCUGAUUGGAAAACCGCUGGUGUUCGUGUUGUGGCCAGACAAACUCACCUAAUGUUUUUGUUGUUCAGCGAGCCUAUCAGAAUCGAACUGAUUGUCAUCCGGCUUAUUUGCGAUGAGGCAACGCAAAAGAAUCGCAACUCUUGAGAGACCAGAGGACGAACAUGCGUUGCUUUGUAUCAGGUACUUUGAUCCACCUUUCCUUCUUGUUUGAUAUCCAUUCUCAGGGGCGGACCCAGGAUAAAAAAUGACUAGGGGCACUCAUUUAUAAGUAAACUGAGGAACACAUUUCCUUAUAGGCUUAUAAACGUCAACACAUGGUAUAUAGUAUAUAGCGAUUUUCUUGUAAGUCAUGAGGUACGUCAACCAAGUUGUGGACACACUAUUCCUCAAUAGUUCAUAGGUUUCAAAAAGAAUAUUUGUGUAUGACAUAAAUGUCGUUACCUGCAAAAAGAAGGUAUACAUAUAAAAGGUCUAAGGUAUUUGACCAUUACAUUUCCCCACGACGGUCAUUCAUCUUAUGGAGACGAACUAAAAUCACUCCAUUCGUAAUCGUGUCUAACAGUUCCUUUCCAUGAAGCAAAUUAAGUUAUGACUCAAAUAAUCAUCAUCAAUUUUGUCACUCAAUCUGCUUGUAUGGAAAGUCAAUGUGCAGCUGAUUAGGCCCCCAGAUUAAAUACGUUUUCUCAUCUCAUCACGUUGGCUGGGGUGAUAAUCUGCCACUUGCUUCCUUUUAGAUGGAUCCUGGGUAAGCUUGUUCAAAUCAAUUAGUUCGGGCAUAACAAAAAUAUGUCUUGGUGCAGGUGUUGAUGCAUCUCCUAUUCCACUAUCACUUGAAUUGUUUAGUAGUGGCAGGCCCCUGGGCAGUGGUGUUGACAUUUCUUGAUUUUUUUUAUCAAGUACUCCUAAGCUAUCUUUCUUCUUUUUUCUGUUUAAAUCAUGAACAUACUAACUGGGAAAGGUUCAGAUACAAAGUACUGUAUAUGCUAAUAAUUGUAUUAAUCAUGAAUAGCUUGCCGACAGGACCUGAUGCCACUUGCCAGAAUCAAUUGGAUAGAAAAUUUGAUUAGAACAAAAUACAUUCCAGACAAGAUUAGUGGUGUUAUACGAGCACGAAUUCCAUAUUUUCAUUUGAUUUAACAUGAACCAAAAACAGGAAUCAAAAAGAAUAAAAAAAGCAUACCACAUGGAUCAGCUGUAGAAUAUACCUAACCUAGUUCCAGAGUUGGGGAUGAGGCUGAUGCAGACCUACAAUGCGGAUGAACGACCAACGGGCGUAGGUAGCCAGCCGACGGCGGCACAGCAGCGGUCGGACACAGGCGCUAAUCAGACUCCGUGGAGGGGGGUCGUCACAACAUGUGGCAACCAAGCCGUCGUUUUGUUUGCUCUAUAUUUAAUUUCCACGAAGAGUCGAAGCGGUGUUGAUUGCUUUCUUUUUCUUUUCUGGGCUUUUACAAGGGAGUGGGGGCACGAGACCUCGGUUGACUGGGGGCCUUUCCGGGCAGUAUUGGACAUGUAUAGAGACCAGAGGACGAACAUGCGUUCCUGAAAAUUGAGUCGGGUCCAGGGCCCCCACUCAACAUAUUGUGCGUCCGCCCCUGUCCAUUCUCCAUCUGAAUCCUUAUCACUGAUGCAAAUCACCUUUGAAAAUAUCAGAUCUGAACCACACAGCAUGCCGGACGUAGGUCUGGAGCACAAUGCAUACCAUGCGGAGGAAAUAACGUCGGAGCAGCUAAUCACAGAGUACAAGCUAAGUAUGAUACUGAAUGUUGCUGAUAUGAGACUAUAAUUAACUGAAUUCUGCCGUCAAGUGAUUCAGGAACAGGAUGUCUAAGGGUCCAAAUGCUAGACUUAUUAUACCUAGCAGGGUCCAAAUGCUAGACUUAUUAUACCUGAUAAGAGAUGUUUGCAUGUAUUGUUGGCAUGUCGUUUGAUUCAACACAAGAAGCAUAACAAAGUAAAUCAUCUUUUUUCUUGCGGACAAUAGCUGAAUAAAUCUGCUCUAGUCUGUAGCAGGUCUAGCAGUA
rnacentral:lncRNA from 1 species